rnacentral:lncRNA from 1 species
AUGGAAUGUAACAGCAGCCAGGGCCUGCUUUCACAUCACAGCACCGUGGGACCCAGGGCAUCAUAUAUUCAGCAGGGAAUCCUGAUCAGGGAAGCCAUCAACCAAGAGGUCUUUUCCAAUCAAGAAACAGAGUGGUCCCAAUACCACUCAUAUUGUCAGGAACCUGUGUUUGCUCCAAAUGUAUAUUUCACUCCCAGAAAUGAAGGUCCAAGUCCUCUGAGAGUAUGUAGCCCAGCACUCACAGCAGUGUAUCCUUCCAGGCUUAUCUUCCCCUGCAGGUAACCCCCAUCAGUGCCUUUUAAAAACCUUUGUAUUGAAAUAUAACAAAUAUACAGGGAAAGUGCACAUACGUAAGUGUACAGCUUGAUGAAUUUCUACAAAAUGAACACAUCUUUGUAAACAGCACCCAGAUCAAGAGACAGGACAUUACCAGUAAUUUAAAGGCACCUCUCUUGUUUCCUUCCAGCCAAUAACCCCAAG